UGGGGAAUUUUGCGCAAUGGGCGGAAGCCUGACGCAGUAACGCCGCGUGGAGGAUGAAGGCCUUCGGGUUGUAAACUCCUGUCAGAGGGAACGACGGGGAUGGGGUGAUAAGCUCUUUCCUCCAGACGGUACCCUCAAAGGAAGCCCCGGCUAAUUCCGUGCCAGCAGCCGCGGUAAUACGGAAGGGGCAAGCGUUGUUCGGAAUCAUUGGGCGUAAAGGGCGUGUAGGUGGUUCUGUAUGUCUACCGUGAAAGCGUACGGCUCAACCGUAUUUAGUCGGUAGAAACUGCAGGACUUGAGGCUGGGAGGGGCUGGUGGAAUUCCCCGUGUAGCGGUGAAAUGCGUAGAGAUGGGGGAGAACACUCGUGGCGAAGGCGGCCAGCUAGACCAGUUCUGACACUGAGGCGCGAUAGCGUGGGGAGCAAACAG
rnacentral:rRNA from 1 species